ensembl:snoRNA SNORA73 Small nucleolar RNA SNORA73 family
CCAAUGUGGACAGCCCCUGGGUUCUCCCAAGGGCUCUCCAGGUGGCCCAGAGGGGCACCGCACCGCAGUGCAGUGGUGUAGAGUCCUGUCCCACAACACUGGAGAUGAUGUUGUCCCCAGUCUUGGACUGCUGAGGACAUGUCCUGUAUAUUCCUUAUCUUUUCAGUGUCUAGUCGCUGAGGAGAAAAACCAUACAGGGCACAAUU